rnacentral:rRNA from 1 species
UUUUGUAUAAUGGGUCAGCGACUUAUAUUCAGUGGCAAGCUUAACCGUAUAGGGUAGGCGUAGCGAAAGCGAGUCUUAAUAGGGCGUUUAGUCGCUGGGUAUAGACCCGAAACCGGGCGAUCUAUCCAUGAGCAGGUUGAAGGUUAGGUAACACUGACUGGAGGACCGAACCCACUCCCGUUGAAAAGGUAGGGGAUGACUUGUGGAUCGGAGUGAAAGGCUAAUCAAGCUCGGAGAUAGCUGGUUCUCCUCGAAAGCUAUUUAGGUAGCGCCUCAUGUAUCACUCUGGGGGGUAGAGCACUGUUUCGGCUAGGGGGUCAUCCCGACUUACCAAACCGAUGCAAACUCCGAAUACCCAGAAGUGCCGAGCAUGGGAGACACACGGCGGGUGCUAACGUCCGUCGUGAAAAGGGAAACAACCCAGACCGCCAGCUAAGGUCCCAAAGUUGUGGUUAAGUGGUAAACGAUGUGGGAAGGCUUAGACAGCUAGGAGGUUGGCUUAGAAGCAGCCAUCCUUUAAAGAAAGCGUAAUAGCUCACUAGUCGAGUCGGCCUGCGCGGAAGAUGUAACGGGGCUCAAACCACACACCGAAGCUGCGGGUGUCACGUAAGUGACGCGGUAGAGGAGCGUUCUGUAAGCCUGUGAAGGUGAGUUGAGAAGCUUGCUGGAGGUAUCAGAAGUGCGAAUGCUGACAUGAGUAACGACAAUGGGUGUGAAAAACACCCACGCCGAAAGACCAAGGGUUCCUGCGCAACGUUAAUCGACGCAGGGUUAGUCGGUUCCUAAGGCGAGGCUGAAAAGCGUAGUCGAUGGGAAACAGGUUAAUAUUCCUGUACUUCUGGUUACUGCGAUGGAGGGACGGAGAAGGCUAGGCCAGCUUGGCGUUGGUUGUCCAAGUUUAAGGUGGUAGGCUGAAAUCUUAGGUAAAUCCGGGGUUUCAAGGCCGAGAGCUGAUGACGAGUCGUCUUUUAGAUGACGAAGUGGUUGAUGCCAUGCUUCCAAGAAAAGCUUCUAAGCUUCAGGUAACCAGGAACCGUACCCCAAACCGACACAGGUGGUCGGGUAGAGAAUACCAAGGCGCUUGAGAGAACUCGGGUGAAGGAACUAGGCAAAAUGGCACCGUAACUUCGGGAGAAGGUGCGCCGGCUAGGGUGAAGGAUUUACUCCGUAAGCUCUGGCUGGUCGAAGAUACCAGGCCGCUGCGACUGUUUAUUAAAAACACAGCACUCUGCAAACACGAAAGUGGACGUAUAGGGUGUGACGCCUGCCCGGUGCCGGAAGGUUAAUUGAUGGGGUUAGCGCAAGCGAAGCUCUUGAUCGAAGCCCCGGUAAACGGCGGCCGUAACUAUAACGGUCCUAAGGUAGCGAAAUUCCUUGUCGGGUAAGUUCCGACCUGCACGAAUGGCGUAACGAUGGCGGCGCUGUCUCCACCCGAGACUCAGUGAAAUUGAAAUCGCUGUGAAGAUGCAGUGUAUCCGCGGCUAGACGGAAAGACCCCGUGAACCUUUACUGUAGCUUUGCACUGGACUUUGAGCCUGCUUGUGUAGGAUAGGUGGGAGGCUUUGAAGCGUGGACGCCAGUUCGCGUGGAGCCAUCCUUGAAAUACCACCCUGGCAUGCUUGAGGUUCUAACUCUGGUCCGUGAUCCGGAUCGAGGACAGUGUAUGGUGGGCAGUUU